CCUGUAGCGCAAUGAAUAGCGCAUUGGACUUCUAAUUCAAAGGUCGUGGGUUCGAAUUCCGCCAGAAUGG
rnacentral:tRNA from 1 species